GCGUUGAAGCGGGAGGUUGCUGCCGAAAGGCAGGUAAUUUCCGUGGAGUAUGUCCGAUAUUUAACCGGGCGACA
rnacentral:ncRNA from 1 species